rnacentral:piRNA from 1 species
UGAAACCUAUGUAAACGUUUU